AUCGCUUCUCGGCCUUUGGCUAAGAUCAAGUGUGUAUCUGUUCUUAUCAGUUUAACUUCUGUCGUCUCUAUCAGGGGAAAACAUAUAAAUGGUUUUUAGCAAUGGAGUUGAAAAAGGGGCUUGCUCCAGUCACUCCACGCAUCGACCGGUAUGCAGCGUCGCUAGGGAACGGUGCACCCAUC